AACGAACGCUGGCGGCGUGCCUAACACAUGUAAGUCGAACGUGAUUGAGGUGCUUGCACCUCAUGAAAGUGGCGCACGGGUGAGUAACGCGUAGAUAAUCUGCCUGUGAUUUGGGAUAACACUUCGAAAGGGGUGCUAAUACCGGAUAAGCCCACGAGCUCUUUGGAGCAUGCGGGAAAAGGAGGGGACCUUCGGGCCUUCCGUCAUCAGAUGAGUCUGCGUACCAUUAGCUAGUUGGUAGGGUAAAGGCCUACCAAGGCGACGAUGGUUAGCUGGUCUGAGAGGAUGAUCAGCCACACUGGAACUGAGACACGGUCCAGACUCCUACGGGAGGCAGCAGUGGGGAAUUUUGCGCAAUGGGGGAAACCCUGACGCAGCAACGCCGCGUGAGUGAUGAAGGCCCUUGGGUCGUAAAGCUCUGACAGAGGGAAAGAAAUGCGGGUGGCUAAUAUCCAUUCCACUUGACGGUACCCUCAAAGGAAGCACCGGCUAACUCCGUGCCAGCCGCCGCGGUAA
rnacentral:rRNA from 1 species